CCUACGGGUGGCAGCAGUGAGGAAUAUUGGUCAAUGGCCGGAAGGCUGAACCAGCCAUGCCGCGUGAAGGUCAGUGCCCUAUGGGCGUUAAACUUCUUUUGUGCGGGAGCAAUAAUGGUCACGUGUGGCCAGACGAGAGUACCGUACGAAUAAGCAUCGGCUAACUCCGUGCCAGCAGCCGCGGUAAUACGGGGGAUGCAAGCGUUAUCCGGAUUUAUUGGGGUUAAAGGGUGCGUAGGCUGUGAGGUAAGUCAGCGGUGAAAUGCCCCGGGUCAACGGGGUGAAGUGCCAUUGAUACUGGCUGGCGGGAGGGGGGUAGGGGGGGGAGGAAGGUGAGGUGUAGCGGUGAAAUGCAGAGAGAACA
rnacentral:rRNA from 1 species